rnacentral:rRNA from 1 species
UGGGGAAUAUUGGACAAUGGGCGCAAGCCUGAUCCAGCCAUGCCGCGUGAGUGAUGAAGGCCCUAGGGUUGUAAAGCUCUUUCACCGGUGAAGAUAAUGACGGUAACCGGAGAAGAAGCCCCGGCUAACUUCGUGCCAGCAGCCGCGGUAAUACGAAGGGGGCUAGCGUUGUUCGGAUUUACUGGGCGUAAAGCGCACGUAGGCGGACUUUUAAGUCAGGGGUGAAAUCCCGGGGGUCAACCCCGGAACUGCCUUUGAUACUGGAAGUCUUGAGUAUGGUAGAGGUGAGUGGAAUUCCGAGUGUAGAGGUGAAAUUCGUAGAUAUUCGGAAGAACACCAGUGGCGAAGGCAGCUCACUGGACCAUUACUGACGCUGAGGUGCGAAAGCGUGGGGAGCAAACAGG